GGCGCACGGGUGAGUAACACGUAGGUAAUUUACCUCUGGGUGGGGAAUAACUUGUGGAAACGCAAGCUAAUACCGCAUAAUGCAGCGGCUCCUAAUGGAGACAGUUGAUAAAGAUUUAUCGCCUGGAGAGAAGCCUGCGGCGGAUUAGGUAGUUGGUAAGGUAAUGGCUUACCAAGCCUGCGAUCCGUAUCCGGUCUUAGAGGACGGUCGGACACACUGACACUGAAUAACGGGUCAGACUCCUACGGGAGGCAGCAGUCGGGAAUUUUGGGCAAUGGGCGAAAGCCUGACCCAGCAACGCCGCGUGAAGGAUGAAGUAUUUCGGUAUGUAAACUUCGGAAGAAUGGGAAGAAUAAAUGACGGUACCAUUUUUAAGCCCCGGCUAACUCCGUGCCAGCAGCCGCGGUAAUACGGAGGGGGCAAGCGUUGUUCGGAUUUACUGGGCGUAAAGGGCGCGUAGGCGGCGCGACAAGUCACUUGUGAAAUCUCCGGGCUUAACUCGGAAUGGUCAAGUGAUACUGUCGUGCUAGAGUGCAGAAGGGGCAAUCGGAAUUCUUGGUGUAGCGGUGAAAUGCGUAGAUAUCAAGAGGAACACCUGAGGCGAAGGCGGAUUGCUGGGCUGACACUGACGCUGAGGCGCGAAAGCUAGGGUAGCAAACGGGAUUAGAUACCCCGGUAGUCCUAGCCUUAAACGAUGAAUGUUUGGUGUCUGGAGUUUGAGUCUCCGGGUGCCGUCGCUAACGCUUUUAACAUUCCGCCUGGGGAGUACGCACGCAAGUGUGAAACUCAAAGGAAUUGACGG
rnacentral:rRNA from 1 species